UACGGAGGGUGCAAGCGUUGUUCGGAAUUAUUGGGCGUAAAGCGCGUGUAGGCGGUCAUGUAAGUCAGAUGUGAAAGCCUUCCGCUUAACGGGAGAAGUGCAUUUGAAACUACAUGACUGGAGUACGGGAGAGGAGAGUGGAAUUCCCGGUGUAGAGGUGAAAUUCGUAGAUAUCGGGAGGAACACCAGUGGCGAAGGCGGCUCUCUGGCCCGAUACUGACGCUGAGACGCGAAAGCGUGGGGAG
rnacentral:rRNA from 1 species